UACGUAGGGUGCGAGCGUUUAAUCGGAAUUACUGGGCGUAAAGAGCGCGCAGGCGGUCGAUCAAGUCGAGUGUGAAAGCCCCCGGCUCAACUGGGGAGGGUCAUUCGAUACUGUCCGACUCGAAGGCAGGAGAGGGAAGCGGAAUUCCCGGUGUAGUGGUGAAAUGCGUAGAUAUCGGGAGGAACACCAGUGGCGAAGGCGGCUUUCUGGCCUGUUCUUGACGCUGAGGCGCGAAAGCUAGGGGAGCGAACGGG
rnacentral:rRNA from 1 species